GUCGUUGUUUUUGGUGGUUGUGGGCAGUUCGGGUCGGGAGAUCCUGGAUAGCAGACAGGUUUAGGUGUUGUGGGCUUAGGACAUCUAGGGUCUUGGCUACCUGGGAAGCAAUUUGGUGGGGCUGGUGUGGUAGGCUUAGGGCAUCUAGGAUCAGUGGAUCCAGGGUAACAGUUAGGAGGGGCAGGGCUAGUAGGUCUUGGGCAUCGUGGAUCGUUACUUCCAGGAUAGCAUUUUGGCUGUCCAGUAGUUGAUGGGGGUAAGUAAGUGGGGGGUGAAGAUGUGGUGGGCCUUGGCGGUUGAGGGCAGUUAGGGUCAGGGGAUCCAGGGUAGCAUACUGGUUUUUGUGUAGUAGGUUUGGGGCAACGAGGAUCGGUUGAUCCUGGGAAGCAAUUUGGUGGAGCAGGAGUUGUGGGUUUUGGACAUCUAGGGUCUGUGCUUCCAGGGUAGCAGUUAGGGGGCGCUGGUGUAGUUGG